rnacentral:tRNA from 2 species
UGGCCCUUUCGUCUAGCGGUUAGGACACCAGCCUCUCACGUUGGUAACACGAGUUCGAUUCUCGUAAGGGUCACCAA